GUAAGUUUAGUUUAACCAAAACAUUAGAUCGUGACUCUAACGAUAGGAGUUAAAACCCCCUAUCUUACC
rnacentral:tRNA from 1 species